rnacentral:rRNA from 1 species
CCUGUGUGACUGCGUACCUUUUGUAUAAUGGGUCAGCGACUUAUAUUCUGUAGCAAGGUUAACCGAAUAGGGGAGCCGGAGGGAAACCGAGUCUUAAUUGGGCGUUAAGUUGCAGGGUAUAGACCCGAAACCCGGUGAUCUAGCCAUGGGCAGGUUGAAGGUUGGGUAACACUAACUGGAGGACCGAACCGACUAAUGUUGAAAAAUUAGCGGAUGACCUGUGGCUGGGGGUGAAAGGCCAAUCAAACCGGGAGAUAGCUGGUUCUCCCCGAAAGCUAUUUAGGUAGCGCCUCGUGAAUUCAUCUCCGGGGGUAGAGCACUGUUUCGGCUAGGGGGCCAUCCCGGCUUACCAACCCGAUGCAAACUGCGAAUACCGGAGAAUGUUAUCACGGGAGACACACGGCGGGUGCUAACGUCCGUCGUGAAGAGGGAAACAACCCAGACCGCCAGCUAAGGUCCCAAAGUCAUGGUUAAGUGGGAAACGAUGUGGGAAGGCCCAGACAGCCAGGAUGUUGGCUUAGAAGCAGCCAUCAUUUAAAGAAAGCGUAAUAGCUCACUGGUCGAGUCGGCCUGCGCGGAAGAUGUAACGGGGCUAAACCAUGCACCGAAGCUGCGGCAGCGACACUGUGUGUUGUUGGGUAGGGGAGCGUUCUGUAAGCCUGCGAAGGUGGCCUGUGAGGGUUGCUGGAGGUAUCAGAAGUGCGAAUGCUGACAUAAGUAACGAUAAAGCGGGUGAAAAGCCCGCUCGCCGGAAGACCAAGGGUUCCUGUCCAACGUUAAUCGGGGCAGGGUGAGUCGACCCCUAAGGCGAGGCCGAAAGGCGUAGUCGAUGGGAAACGGGUUAAUAUUCCCGUACUUGGUGUUACUGCGAAGGGGGGACGGAGAAGGCUAUGUUGGCCGGGCGACGGUUGUCCCGGUUUAAGCGUGUAGGUGUGUGUUCCAGGUAAAUCCGGUUCACUUUAACACUGAGGCGUGACGACGAGGCACUACGGUGCUGAAGCAACAAAUGCCCUGCUUCCAGGAAAAGCCUCUAAGCAUCAGGUAACAUCAAAUCGUACCCCAAACCGACACAGGUGGUCAGGUAGAGAAUACCAAGGCGCUUGAGAGAACUCGGGUGAAGGAACUAGGCAAAAUGGUGCCGUAACUUCGGGAGAAGGCACGCUGACACGUAGGUGAAGUGAUUUACUCAUGGAGCUGAAGUCAGUCGAAGAUACCAGCUGGCUGCAACUGUUUAUUAAAAACACAGCACUGUGCAAACACGAAAGUGGACGUAUACGGUGUGACGCCUGCCCGGUGCCGGAAGGUUAAUUGAUGGGGUCAGCGCAAGCGAAGCUCCUGAUCGAAGCCCCGGUAAACGGCGGCCGUAACUAUAACGGUCCUAAGGUAGCGAAAUUCCUUGUCGGGUAAGUUCCGACCUGCACGAAUGGCGUAAUGAUGGCCAGGCUGUCUCCACCCGAGACUCAGUGAAAUUGAACUCGCUGUGAAGAUGCAGUGUACCCGCGGCAAGACGGAAAGACCCCGUGAACCUUUACUAUAGCUUGACACUGAACAUUGAGCCUUGAUGUGUAGGAUAGGUGGGAGGCUUUGAAGUGUGGACGCCAGUCUGCAUGGAGCCGACCUUGAAAUACCACCCUUUAAUGUUUGAUGUUCUAACGUGGACCCGUUACCCGGGUUGCGGACAGUGUCUGGUGGGUAGUUUGACUGGGGCGGUCUCCUCCUAAAGAGUAACGGAGGAGCACGAAGGUUGGCUAAUCCUGGUCGGACAUCAGGAGGUUAGUGCAAUGGCAUAAGCCAGCUUGACUGCGAGCGUGACGGCGCGAGCAGGUGCGAAAGCAGGUCAUAGUGAUCCGGUGGUUCUGAAUGGAAGGGCCAUCGCUCAACGGAUAAAAGGUACUCCGGGGAUAACAGGCUGAUACCGCCCAAGAGUUCAUAUCGACGGCGGUGUUUGGCACCUCGAUGUCGGCUCAUCACAUCCUGGGGCUGAAGUAGGUCCCAAGGGUAUGGCUGUUCGCCAUUUAAAGUGGUACGCGAGCUGGGUUUAGAACGUCGUGAGACAGUUCGGUCCCUAUCUGCCGUGGGCGCUGGAGAACUGAGGGGGGCUGCUCCUAGUACGAGAGGACCGGAGUGGACGCAUCACUGGUGUUCGGGUUGUCAUGCCAAUGGCACUGCCCGGUAGCUAAAUGCGGAAGAGAUAAGUGCUGAAAGCAUCUAAGCACGAAACUUGCCCCGAGAUGAGUUCUCCCUGAGACUUAGAGUCUCCUGAAGGAACGUUGAAGACGACGACGUUGAUAGGCCGGGUGUGUAAGCGCAGCGAUGCGUUGAGCUAACCGGUACUAAUGAACCGUGAGGCUUAACCUUACAACGCCGAAG